CAGCCGCGGUAAUACGAAGGGGGCUAGCGUUGCUCGGAAUCACUGGGCGUAAAGCGCACGUAGGCGGCUUUUUAAGUCAGGGGUGAAAUCCUGGAGCUCAACUCCAGAACUGCCUUUGAUACUGAGAAGCUUGAGUCCGGGAGAGGUGAGUGGAACUGCGAGUGUAGAGGUGAAAUUCGUAGAUAUUCGCAAGAACACCAGUGGCGAAGGCGGCUCACUGGCCCGGUACUGACGCUGAGGUGCGAAAGCGUGGGGAGCACACAGGAUUAGAUACUCUGGUAGUCCACGCCGUAAACGAUGGAUGCUAGCCGUUGUCGGGUGUACCCGUCAGUGGCGCAGCUAACGCAUUAA
rnacentral:rRNA from 1 species